CUGUCAAGUCGGAUGUGAAAUCCCCGGGCUCAACCUGGGAACUGCAUUCGAAACUGGCAGGCUUGAGUCUUGUAGAGGGGGGUAGAAUUCCAGGUGUAGCGGUGAAAUGCGUAGAGAUCUGGAGGAAUACCGGUGGCGAAGGCGGCCCCCUGGACAAAGACUGACGCUCAGGUGCGAAAGCGUGGGGAGCAAACAGGAUUAGAUACCCUGGUAGUCCACGCCGUAAACGAUGUCUACUUGGAGGUUGUGCCCUUGAGGCGUGGCUUCCGGAGCUAACGCGUUAAGUAGACCGCCUGGGGAGUACGGCCGCAAGGUUAAAACUCAAAUGAAUUGACGGGGGCCCGCACAAGCGGUGGAGCAUGUGGUUUAAUUCGAUGCAACGCGAAGAACCUUAC
rnacentral:rRNA from 2 species